rnacentral:rRNA from 1 species
AUGGCCACCUGCCUCUCUGACCUGAUUAGUGACCAUUCCUUAGACUUUGUUGGGCUGCAGGAGACUAUGAAAAAAAAGUUUUCCCCUAAAUGCAUUAGGAGGAUUGAUCCUUUUGGUCUGUUUCAUUGGGAAUGGAUCCCAUCUGCUGGGAAAUCUGGGGGUAUCCUGAGUGGUGUGAGACAUGAUACUUUUGAUGUUAUUUCCUGUAAUAAAGGCAAAUAUAUUUUGCAAAUGGUGAUACGUGACAAAAAGAUUAAGAAAGACUGGGGUCUCAUGGUAGUGUAUGGAUCUGCUCAUGAGGAGUUUAAGGAGGAAUUUUUAGUGGAACUUGCUGCAAUGUGCAGCAACAUGAGUGUCCCCUACAUUGUGGGAGGUGACUUUAAUAUUUUGCGUAACUGCAAUGAGAAAAAUAAGAAGAUGAAUAGUAGCAGAUCUACCUCUUUUAAUUCCAUCGUCAAUGCCCUGGCUCUUAGAGAGAUUUAUACUAGUGGGGGUAAAUAUACAUGGGCUAACAAUCAGGCGCACCCAACUCUGGAGAAACUAGACCGGAUUUUGAUGUCUAAAGAAUGGGAAAAUCUCUUCCCUAUGGUUUCGGUUAGGAAAUUAGUUCGCGAAAUUUCUGACCAUAACCCACUGCUGCUUUCUAGUGGGGAGGAAAGUAGAGAAGCUCCUAAACCUCGUGAGUUUCGUUUUAAUCUUGCCUAGAUUAAGGAUGAGAACUUCUUGCCUACUGUUAGUAGGAUCUGGGCUAGA